UUCCAACACCAAGUGAGAAGAAGCAGAAGAAAGUCAGGAGGGCCCCAGUGAGCCAGGAGACCGAGGAUACUCUGGUAGAGAAAUGAUGUUGCACAAAGAACCCUGGAGUCAAUAGAUGUGAGUUAAGAGGAAACCUGGUCUGAACAGUGGCUAAAGUGCUGGAACUGCAGUCUAGAAGAGCAGAGUUCAAAUAUUGUCUCUGAGGAUCACUCGUCGUGUGACCAAUGCUCUGCUUUAACCAUGGAAUAUUUCUGUGUUAUUUUUUUGACUGAUGUCAAGCAUUACAUGUGUGGAGAAAACUAAUAUGGCUGUCUAUACAGAAGAGAAUGGGGCAUAAAGACUUAUUCCAUCAAGGCAGGGUAUUUAGAGAGUCCUUUGGUUAGGGCUCAUUUAAUAAAUCCAGUAGUUAUUUUAAUUACUGUAAGGCA
rnacentral:lncRNA from 1 species